rnacentral:rRNA from 2 species
GGAUGCGAUCAUACCAGCACUAAAGCACCGGAUCCCAUCAGAACUCCGAAGUUAAGCGUGUUUGGGCAAGAGUAGUACUAGGAUGGGUGACCUCCUGGGAAGUCCUCGUGUUGCAUUCC